GAUGAAGAACGUAGCGAAAUGCGAUAAGUAGUGUGAAUUGCAGAAUUCAGUGAAUCAUCGAAUCUUUGAACGCACAUUGCGCCCCUUGGUAUUCCAUGGGGCAUGCCUGUUCGAGCGUCAUCUACACCCUCAAGCUCUGCUUGGUGUUGGGCGUCUGUCCCGCCUUUGCGCGUGGACUCGCCCCAAAUUCAUUGGCAGCGGUCCUUGCCUCCUCUCGCGCAGCACAUUUGCGCUUCUCGAGGUGCGCGGGCCGCGUCCACGAAGCAACUAUUACCGUCUUUGACCUCGGAUCAGGUAGGAAUACCCGCUGAACUUAAGCAUACAAUAAGCGGAGGA
rnacentral:misc_RNA from 1 species